GUAUAUGAAAGUUUUUUAGACGUAGAUAUCCGACGUGGAAUCAACGUUGAAGUUGUGACAUAUUGUUAACGUUGAAAAUGGGUUGUUUCGUGGUUGUAUAUGAACGUUUUUUUGACGUAGGUAUCCGACGUGGAAUCAACGUUGAAGUUUGACGUAUUAUUAACGUUG